GCCUUGCCCAGGACGUGUGAUCCUUGCCCAACCGUGUCCAUUGACAGGGCUCUCCCGGCAGUGGGGCGUGGAUGUUCAGUGGAGCGACCAGAUAGCUAAAGGUUCAGUGGAAUUCCUAAAUUAAACCAUAUGGGUGUGCUGUGUUUGUCAGGUCAGCAUUCUCCAGAGAAACAGAACCAAUCAACCAACCAACAGAACCAUCUCUUAUAAAUAAAGAGGUGUAUUAUAAGGAAUUGGCUCACGUGACUAUGGAGGCUGAGAAAUCCCAAGAUUCACAGUUAGCAAACUGGAGAAGCAGGAGAGUCAAUGGUGUAAGUUUCAGUUCAAAAUCCAGAAGACUCCAGACCCAUGAAGAGCUGAUCAGUUCAAGUCUGAAGGCAAGAAAAGACCAGCUCAACAGUCAGGCAGGAGGAUUCCCUACGACUAGCUGGAGGGUCUCCUUUUUAUUCUAUUCAGGCCUUCAACUGAUUGGAUGAGAGCCACCUACAGUAGAGAUGACAAUCUGCUUUACUCAGUCUAUCAAUUUAAAUGUUCAUCUUAUCCAAAAAAAUCUCUUGUAGACACACUCAGAAUAAUGUUUGACCAAAUACCUGAGCUACCUAUGGCACAGUUAACUAUAUACAUAAAAUUAAUCAUCACAGGAAUUUAAGUCAUUUAUUUUUAUUUUUUUAAUUUUUUAUUGAUGCAGAUAUUUGGGGCUAUAAAUUUUCCUCAGAUCACUGCUUUAAAUCUAUUUUUAAUUCAGAUAUGUUGUAUUCUUAUUAAAUUUUUCAGAUGUUUUCUAUUCUCUUGGUAUUUUCUUUCACUGAAGU